rnacentral:rRNA from 1 species
AUUGAACGCUGGCGGCAGGCUUAACACAUGCAAGUCGAGCGAGUGGCGGACGGGUGAGUAAUGUCUGGGAAACUGCCUGAUGGAGGGGGAUAACUACUGGAAACGGUAGCUAAUACCGCAUACCAUCAGAUGUGCCCAGAUGGGAUUAGCUAGUAGGUGGGGUAAUGGCUCACCGAGGCGACGAGCCCUAGCUGGUCUGAGAGGAUGACCAGCCACACUGGAACUGAGACACGGUCCAGACUCCGACGGGAGGCAGCAGGGUGGAAUAUUGCACAAUGGGCGCAAGCCUGAUGCAGCCAUGCCGCGGGUUGUAAGAAGGCCUUCGGGUUGUAAAGUACUUUCAGCGAGGAGGCGUUACUCGCAGAAGAAGCACCGGCUAACUCCGUGCCAGCAGCCGCGGUAAUAC